rnacentral:rRNA from 1 species
CCUACGGGAUGCAGCAGUGAGGAAUAUUGGUCAAUGGACGAGAGUCUGAACCAGCCAAGUAGCGUGAAGGAUGACUGCCCUAUGGGUUGUAAACUUCUUUUAUAUGGGAAUAAAAUGUUCCACGUGUGGGAUUUUGUAUGUACCAUCUGAAUAAGUAACGGCUAACUCCGUGCCAGCAGCCGCGGUAAUCCGGAGGAUCCGAGCGUUAUCCGGGUUUAUUGGGUUUAAAGGGAGCGUAGGUGGAUUGUUAAGUAAGUGGUGAAAGUUUGCGGCUCAACCGUAAAAUUGCAGUUGAAUCUGGCAGGCUUGAGUACAGUAGAGGUGGGCGGAAUUCGUGGUGUAGCGGUGAAAUGCUUAGAUAUCACGAAGAACUCCGAUUGCGAAGGCAGCUCACUGGACUGAAACUGACACUGAGGCUCGAAAGUGUGGGUAUCAAACAGGAUUAGAUACCCCAGUAGUC